CAAUAGCGUAUAUUAAAGUUGUUGCGGUUAAAAAGCUCGUAGUUGGAUUUCUGCUGAAGGCGGCCGGUCCAUGUUCGACAUGCGCAUCUGGAUUGACUUCGGCAUCCUCUCAGAUAACGAUUCUGUGCUUGAUUGCAUGGAGCGGAGUUUGAGACUUUUACUUUGAGGAAAAUAGAGUGUUCACGGCAGGCAAUCGCCCUGAAUAUAUUAGCAUGGAAUAAUAAAAUAGGAUCUUGGUUCUAUUUUGUUGGUUUCUAGAACGAAGAUAAUGAUUAAUAGGGACAAUUGGGGGCAUUCGUAUUAACGCGUCAGAGGUGGAAUUCUUGGAUUGCGUUACGACGAACUACUGCGAAAGCAUUUGCCAAGGAUGUUUUCAUUGA
rnacentral:rRNA from 1 species